rnacentral:misc_RNA from 2 species
AACGCACAUUGCGCCCUCUGGCAUUCCGGGGGGCAUGCCUGUUCGAGCGUCAUUUCACCUUCCAGCCGAGCUGGGUAUUGGGUAGUCCGCAGCAGUGGGCACCUUAAACUUAGGUGGAAGAAGCAGCCGAAAUCUUUAGCGCAGUGACUCUUAUAAUCUCGCUCUAGGUCGGUUGGUGCUUUCCCAAAAUCUCUCGCUCCUAUGCCUAGGAUUGAGAGAUAUUUCCAAAGAUUGACCUCGGAUCAGGUAGGAAUACCCGCUGAACUUAA